rnacentral:rRNA from 1 species
GAUGAACGCUGGCGGCGUGCUUAACACAUGCAAGUCGAACGAUGAAGCCCAGCUUGCUGGGUGGAUUAGUGGCGAACGGGUGAGUAACACGUGAGUAACCUGCCCUUAACUCUGGGAUAAGCCUGGGAAACUGGGUCUAAUACCGGAUAGGAGCGUCCACCGCAUGGUGGGUGUUGGAAAGAUUUAUCGGUUUUGGAUGGACUCGCGGCCUAUCAGCUUGUUGGUGAGGUAAUGGCUCACCAAGGCGACGACGGGUAGCCGGCCUGAGAGGGUGACCGGCCCCCCUGCGCCUGCGACACGCCCCAGACGCCUACGGGAGGCAACAGUGGGGAGUAUUGCGCAAUGGGCCCAAGCCUGAUGCAGCGGCGCCGCGUGAGGAAUGACGUCCUUCUGGUUGUAAACCUCUUUCAGAAGGGAAGAAGCUAGAGUGACGGUACCUGAUGAAAAAGCACCGGCUAACUACGUG